UUAAAUCAUAAUUAGAAAUUAGAAAUCUUGAUGAGCAAGUCGGGUAAAUAAGGAAUAUACUUAAUGUUAAGAAUAUUUUUCAAAGAUUUGACAUGUUUUAUUUUUUGAUUACGUAGUUAGUUAGAUAUUAUUGAUAGGAAUAUACUUAUUGUAAUCAAUUCAACUUAUAAUUUCGUGAUUAUCAAGUAAGUAAGUAAUUAAGAUUGUCCAAGAUUUUUGGAAUGUUUGAUUUCUUAACAAAUUUGAAUUGAUAUUAUCCGAUUUAUCAAUUUAAUGAUAGGUGGCGAUAUUUAUUCUAAAUGUGAAACUUUAAAUGUAGGGGAUUAUUAUGUUAAGUAAUUAAGAUUGUCAAAGAUUUAAGGAACGAUUAUUCAAUUUCUUAACAGAUUUGAUAUAAUCCGAUUAAUUGUUUUAAUAAUUGGUGGUGAUAUAAAUUGGAAAAAAAUAAAAAUCACUAUUUUAACGAAAUGGUUUGUAAUUUUUUGUCUUAUAUAAAUAUGGAGUAAUAUAAUUAUUUAUAAUUUAAUAAACAGGCAAAACGAAAAUGUUUAAAAUCGGAAGUCAAAGUUGCAAUUUUUAAACAAACCGAGCCUAAAUACCUCAUGAUAUUCACUGUAAUACACAAAGUAUGAUUUAGAAAUAUUAUUAUAUUUCCUAUACUAUAGUAAUAUAUUAGUUUUGGUUUUUAGGUUAUUAAUCAAACUCCGAGAAACCAUUUCGUUUAAAGGAAUUUUCGUUUUGAUUACAAAUGGCAGUCCAAAAAACUGUAGACCAAAAACGUAAUGGGCUUUUAUAGUGAGAUUCACGUGAAAUAUUUAGAUUGAUUAGCCAAAUUGUUUUUAAUAAAGCCAGUGGCAAGGAUUCGUAAUUACUAAGAAAAUCUAAGGGUUAUUUUACAUUUGUACUCCACUUUUAAUAGGAUAGAUAAUUUAUCGGAUAAUUAAUUCUUGGUGCCAUGCAAUUGAAGAUAAAGUAUGAAAAAUCAACAGUGUUCUGGAUUAGUAAAACAAGUAUGGAUCGGAUCUUCCUAAUCAUGUGUCGGACCUUCAACUUAAAUAAGUCUUUUUUUUUUUAAAUUUGGCCGGCAUAAAAGGAUUUGAAGUUCACCUCUAAGUGGAGUAACUACUUUCCAUAGUGUAAGCUAAUCUUAUACAAUAAAACAGACUUGCCUUCUCUUCGUUAAGCCACGUCAGCAUGGAGAGAAGGGCAUUUUGUGCCACCUGGACGCCUCUCUUUAUUCAUCAAAAGCUGUUUUCGAGUUAUGUUGAAUGGGCUGUGAGAAUAACAAGUGCACAUAUCAGGCCUAUUACUUGCUUAAAAUUUUCUAAAAUAUUGCAAAACUGGGCUAUGUAGUUAGGGCACACUUUCAAAUUUGUAGGUUGCUUACCUUUCUAAACCUACCACCGGAGAUGAUGUAUCGUCGCGUAAACAACACUUCCCCUUCACAGUCGAGGUAUAUAAACACACCUCCCGAGAGAUCCUUCGAUCAUGGCGAAUUCUCCAAAUCAGAGCUCAUGUUCUAUCUCACAGAAAACCCUCGAUCAUGGCGAGUUCUCUAUUUAUUUUUGCGAGUUUAAGACAUGCGGAUGCAGCCAGACCAUUCAGACCAGACUGCGUCGAUUUUAGGAGACCCGAAAUGUACUGAAAGGGGACGAGCUAAUGGAUGUUGAUAUGCUUCUCAUUGAUGAAAAAGGUGUGCCGGUUCCUUAUUCCAAUUACUACUUUAAGAUUUAUGGCUUUUGAUGUUGGAGAGCACUCCAUGAUAAUUAAAUUUGUUAAGUUGCUGGUGAUUUUAGCAGGACUACCAUAUCUAACCAUUAAAAUUUAUUACUACUCGGGCUGUGUACUUCUGUAGUGGGGGGAUCUUUGUCCUCCAGAAUAUCUUCAUUAUGGGCUUCCAUCUUUUUCUAUAUACUCAUUUUACAUCUCCCAUAUGGAAAUAUGCUGGUAAGUGAGAUUUUGCUCUUUCUUUCCUAUUGUUUUUGACCGUUAAAUGCUAUGUACCUUUGCUUCUUUCUCUGGUUCUAGAUGUCUUUGUACAUAUGUUACUUUCCGUGUGUUAGUGUUUCUGAUAGUAAGGCUUUAUUAUUAUCUAGCACUUCGUUUCAUACAAAAUUUGUUAACUUUCGAGUCUUUUGCAGCAUCCUGAUUUGGUUUGGAACUUAAGCUCUUGUCCUUUCAUAUCUAGCACAGCGAUUGGGAAAAAAUCUCUACAGCUCAACUGUUCGGAUGAUCAUUUCCUUUUGUAACCAGACUUUUUGUAUUCUAAUUCAUAGGAAUGCACAGAUGGCAAGUGGAGCUUCAGUAGAGUUGCACAAUACUUCAGAAACAGUUAGUGAUUCUCUAUUUUUCCCUGAACCCUACUUGAGUCUGAAGGCAUGGACAUGUAAACAGACUAAGAGAGAGUUAUGUGUAUUGAUGUUGGAGACCCACAUAUUCAGAAGCAAGAGCUGUAAAAUUAAGAUCCAAUGUUUUUAUAGUAUUCGUAUCAAAGUACGCUCUUUAUUCUUUGCUUAUGUCACUACAGAUAAAAUCUUGGUCUGGACCAUCUGCUACUAAGUCUGAGAACCUGUUUUCCGAGUCUAAGAAUUCAAGACCUAGACACGGCCGCCACCUCUUUGUUGAUGGCCCUUCGACUUUGUAAUCAAUAGAGGCUAAGAAAGCCAUGGUUCCUGACAAACUCGCUGAGCUUUGGGUCGUUGACCCUGAGAGAUCUAAAAGGUUUCAUCUUUAAUCUGUCUUUGCACUUUCUCCAAGUAGUUAUUCAUGGUUUGUUACGGUGGGGUGAUGGAUCAGACUCCAUAACCUCUUUGUUCUAGAGACAUAAGUAUUCUGCAGACUAAUGUUUCUCAUUUAGUUUUGUUUUUAUGUCUAUAUUGGAAAUGGUACUCCCUGGAUAAAGAUAUUUUCUGCUCUUUCAUUAUAACCAUGAGUUUUGAUAACAUAAUUUCAUCAAUGUACGCAUCGAGUCAGAAUGACCCGCACCAAGUCGUGUGGAACAGCAAUCCUACAAAACUUUGUCCCAACUGUCAUCACGUCAUUGACAACAGAAGUUGAUGACUGGCCAGGCUUGCCUCAAGGUGUGAAAUUCGAUCCCUCUGAUCCAGAGAUCAUCUGCCAUUUGCUUGCAAAAUCUGGAUUGUUGGGUUUAAGCUCCCACCCUUUCAUUAAUGAGUUAAUCACAACUGUCAAUCAAGAUGAUGGAAUCUGUUACGCACAUCCUAAAAACUUACCAGUCUAGCCAUUUCAGUGAUCGUACCAGUUCUUCCAAGUUUUAUCUUAAUCCGAUUUUUUUUUAAAAACAAAUUGAGGUCUUAAGCACCACGGGACUGCGUCCCACUUUUCAAUAGAGCUAUCAAAACUUACAGCGCAUGAACUAACCAGUUGUAUUGGAUGGUGCGUUUAGUCACUGCCAUGGUAUCCAGUACAUGUUGGUCCAACACUACAAAACGUUGAUGCCUGCUUUUUAACUUUCCACUCUCUCCAACAACACCUCUUCUCUUUUUCUGCUUACUGCUAGAACCUUAUCUCCAGAGUGUCGUUGUGUUUAUCUUUUCGUACUCCAUUUCUUGAAGGAAAGUGAACGGUGUGCAAAACAUGCCUUUAAUGUCAAUGGAGAAGUCUCACGAGGAAGAGCAUUCACACAUUUUCUUUCAGGUGGCUAUGUUUGACGUUUCAGUAAGUACAAGUAUGCUCAGCUAAUGAUUGCUAGCCGAAUGAGUUAUUCAUUCAUUGUUGUGCAGUUUUUUGCCUCAAGUUUUAGUACUUUUUCAUGAGCGAAGUGGCCUCAAUAUUUACAGUUCAUAAGAGCAGCUAGAUUUAACACCGAA